rnacentral:rRNA from 1 species
CGUGUAGGCGGCCCGGUAAGUCCGCUGUGAAAGUCGGGGGCUCAACCCUCGAAUGCCGGUGGAUACUGUCGGGCUAGAGUGCGGAAGAGGCGAGUGGAAUUCCUGGUGUAGCGGUGAAAUGCGCAGAUAUCAGGAGGAACACCGAUUGCGAAGGCAGCUCGCUGGGACGUAACUGACGCUGAGACGCGAAAGCGUGGGGAGCAAACA